UCCUAGUGUAUGGCAGUUACCAUAACUUGGGUCCAACACAAUCUCCUUAAAAGGUGUAAGUAGAGUCCAAUCUCAUCACCACCUUUGGAGUUACCUUAUAUGCAUAUGAAUAGGUACCCGGACUCUGCAUACAGGAGAGCCCACUGUGCAUGCCCAAACGGUCCUAUAACCUAGUCUGGGCUUCGGCCCAAAGGACUCGAAGACCCGACCCCG
rnacentral:lncRNA from 1 species